CACACGGAAGCCGCUUUAUGUAUGGGGCCGUCUCAAACGUCACCAUCCCACCCUGCCAACGUCACGUACGGAAAACUCACGCACGUUUCGCAAUCUGCUCUCAUCGGAGCAGCAUGUCCAGUAUGGUAUUUUACCUAUAGAUGUAUAAGGGGGUUUAUUUUCUAAUAUGGCAUUUUGAGAUGUGCUGGGACAGAUCAAGGAUUACUGCCCACCUAAAAUGAACAGUAUGCUUUUCAUUCCUCUUUUCAUGGCGAUUUUCUACCCACGUUUUACUUGUGUAUUUAUGACACAGACUGUUCUGUCACAUUUCUUCCAGCUGGAUAUAAAGGAAACAAUGGAAGGAACAUUUUCUCAAGAAAAAUUUCCUCCGUUACAGCCGAAAAAGACCGACUGGAUUGUAAAGUCACCAUCGAAACUAUAUUGAUCCUCACAGGGAGACUCAAUUUUCUUGCUCUCCUCUACAGGGAUGUCCAAAGCACAGGGUUAACUGCAGGGCAUCAACCCAGGAGCCGCUAGAGGUUCAGUGUUUUUACUCGAGGAUGCCCCAGGACGAGGAUCAAUGGCUGUUGACAAAGUACUCAAACCAACUGCAGUCUGCCACAUUGAUGCCCAAAUGGUUUAUGAGCCAGCUAGGAGUAUAAUUCCGAAUGUAUUGCGACACGCAUACAUGAUUAAACAGUUUGACCACAUGGACUUACAGGCUGAUUUCACACUCAUCCUUCCCAUUUCUGCCACUUCAUGAAGUUUUCACAGAUAUUAAUGGUCCCCAGGGGAUUCCUGAUGGUUUUGAUGACUACCUGACCUUUCAGAAGCUACUGUAAUGGCAAGAUUUCCAUAUAAUUUGCAGUGAUAAUUCGUGGGCCCUACAGGAUGAAUUCAAAUGCCUAUAGUGAUCACCUGCCCUUUAUAGCACCACUAUCAGAACAAGAUGGCAAUAUUUACUAUUCUUUCAGAGCAGGUUUUUAAAGACUUUUCAGGCUUUGUGUUCAGAGACUGUAAGAUUUUGAUCUGAUGAGGUCAGCACUUUAUUUCAUGACCUCAGAAGAUGUGUGGUGUAACAAGUUCUGUGGAUUGAAUGUAUUAUUGAGAAUACAAUACCUGUGUUAUUGUUCACACUGACUCUGCAACAUGAGUCAUCUGCCAGUAAAUGACUACCAUGCGA